rnacentral:rRNA from 1 species
CUACGGAGGGUCCAAGCGUUAUCCGGAAUCAUUGGGUUUAAAGGGUCCGCAGGCGGUCAAUUAAGUCAGAGGUGAAAGCCCAUCGCUCAACGAUGGAACUGCCUUUGAUACUGGUUGACUUGAGUUAUACGGAAGUAGAUAGAAUAAGUAGUGUAGCGGUGAAAUGCAUAGAUAUUACUUAGAAUACCGAUUGCGAAGGCAGUCUACUACGUAUAUACUGACGCUCAGGGACGAAAGCUUGGGGAGCGAACAGGAUUAGAAACCCUAGUAGUCC